rnacentral:tRNA from 1 species
UCCCUUGUGGCCUAGUGGUUAAGGAUCCAGCACUGUUACUGCUGUGACUCAGGUUCAGUUCCUGGCCUGGGAG